rnacentral:rRNA from 1 species
UACGAGGGGUGCGAGCGUUAUUCGGAAUUACUCGGCGUAAAGCGCGUGUAGGCGGCCUAUUAUGUCAGGUGUGAAAGCCCUCGGCCUAACCGAGGAAGUGCGCCUGAAACUGCUAGGCUUGAGUACGAGAGAGGAGGACGGAAUUCCCAGUGUAGAGGUGAAAUUCGUAGAUAUUGGGAGGAACACCAGCGGCGAAAGCGGUUCUCUGGAUCGAUACUGACGCUAAGACGCGAAAGCGUGGGGAGCAAACAGG